rnacentral:rRNA from 1 species
GACGAACGCUGGCGGCGUGCUUAACACAUGCAAGUCGAACGGAAAGGCCCUGCUUUUGUGGGGUGCUCGAGUGGCGAACGGGUGAGUAACACGUGAGUAACCUGCCCUUGACUUUGGGAUAACUUCAGGAAACUGGGGCUAAUACCGGAUAGGAGCUCCUGCUGCAUGGGGGGGGUUGGAAAGUUUCGGCGGUUGGGGAUGGAAUCGCGGCUUAUCAGCUUGUUGGUGGGGUAGUGGCUUACCAAGGCUUUGACGGGUAGCCGGCCUGGGAGGGUGACCGGCCACCUUGGGACUGCGGUACGGCCCAGACUCCUACGGGAGGCAGCAGUGGGGAAUAUUGCACAAUGGGCGGACGCCUGAUGCAGCAACGCCGCGUGCGUGAUGACGGCCUUCGGGUUGUAAACCGCUUUCUCCUGUGACGAAGCGUGAGUGACGGUAAUGGGUAAAGAAGCACCGGCUAACUACGUG